GUCUACGGCUAUGCCACCUUGAACAAGCCUGAUGUCUGAUCGGAAGUUAAGCAGGGUCGGACCUGGUUAGUACUUGGAUGGGAGACCACCUAGGAAGACCAGGUACUGGAGGCA
rnacentral:rRNA from 1 species